rnacentral:rRNA from 1 species
UUAAAUGAGAGUUUGAUCCUGGCUCAGGACGAACGCUGGCGGCGUGCCUAAUACAUGCAAGUCGAGCGAUGAUUAAAGAUAGCUUGCUAUUUUUAUGAAGAGCGGCGAACGGGUGAGUAACGCGUGGGAAAUCUGCCGAGUAGCGGGGGACAACGUUUGGAAACGAACGCUAAUACCGCAUAACAAUGAGAAUCGCAUGAUUCUUAUUUGAAAGAAGCAAUUGCUUCACUACUUGAUGAUCCCGCGUUGUAUUAGCUAGUUGGUAGUGUAAAGGACUACCAAGG